rnacentral:rRNA from 1 species
AACGAACGCUGGCGGCAGGCUUAACACAUGCAAGUCGAACGCGUGCAGCAAUGCACGAGUGGCGCACGGGUGAGUAACGAGUGGAUAUCUGCCUUUUGGUUCGGAAUAACCCCGGGAAACUGGGGCUAAUACCGGAUGGUUCCUACGGGAUAAAGAUUUAUCGCCAAAAGAUGAGUCCGCGUCCGAUUAGCUAGUUGGUGAGGUAAUGGCUCACCAAGGCGACGAUCGGUAGCUGGUCUGAGAGGACGAUCAGCCACACUGGGACUGAGACACGGCCCAGACUCCUACGGGAGGCAGCAGUGGGGAAUAUUGGACAAUGGAGGCAACCCUGAUCCAGCCAUGCCGCGUGAGUGAUGAAGGCCUUCGGGUUGUAAAGCUCUUUUGGCGGGGACGAUGAUGACGGUACCCGCAGAAUAAGCCCCGGCUAACUUCGUG